rnacentral:sRNA from 2 species
GCCCCGAAGAUACGAAGAAUUUAUUCUGCAUGUUCGUUUGGAAGCCGAUCACAAUUCAGACGCUCCAAGUUUGUGACCGCUGAUUGGAGUAAAUAUUGACUUUUUGCUGAACACUGUUGGCAUUGAGGAGUUUCUUUCCUCCAGGAGACUAACACAUUUUAGCGUCUCCUUGCGCCCACUCUCGAAUCUCCCGAUCUGCUGGAUUCGAUUCUCGUAUUUUCACCAUAGCGCCACACAAAAUCCGCACUGUAGCUCGCUCUCCAAGCCGUUUCUCCAUCAUCAUGAUGAUUGUUUGGAACCCUUUUGGCCGCAGUGGUGUUCGGAUUUCUCUGGAGCUCCCGAUUCCAAGAAAUUCCGCCUCAUGUUUGAUCAAACACACAACUUGUUAGGUGGGCUGAUUUCAUUGUCCACCAAGUCCUUGAACUACAGAGUAAUUCAAAUCAUGCCAUAUCUCUCUCACAAAAACCAAUGAAGAAUAAUAUAUUCAAGGGUUUGAGAUGCGGCUCCAGCCAAUUGCUUCAUGCAAGCCUUUUCAAGCC